rnacentral:rRNA from 1 species
CGUAGGGUGCGAGCGUUGUCCGGAUUUAUUGGGCGUAAGGGGCUCGUAGGUGGUUGAUCGCGUCGGAAGUGUAAUCUUGGGGCUUAACCCUGAGCGUGCUUUCGAUACGGGUUGACUUGAGGAAGGUAGGGGAGAAUGGAAUUCCUGGUGGAGCGGUGGAAUGACGCAGAUAGUCAGGAGGAACACCAGGUGGCGAAGGCGGUUCUCUGGGCCUUUCCUGACGCUGAGGAGCGAAAGCGUGGGGAGCGAACAGGCUU